GGUGAACGCUGGCGGCGUGCUUAAGACAUGCAAGUCGAACGGCAGUCUUCGGACUGUAGUGGCGCACGGGUGAGUAACGCGUAACUGACCUACCCCAAAGUCGCGGAUAACGAUUCGAAAGAAUCGCUAAUACGUGAUGUGCUGUCAGAUUGUGUUCUGCCAGUAAAGAUUGAUUGCUUUGGGAUGGGGUUGCGUUCCAUCAGCUAGUUGGUGGGGUAAAGGCCCACCAAGGCGACGACGGAUAGCCGGCCUGAGAGGGUGGCCGGCCACAGGGGCACGGAGACACGGGGCCCACUCCUACGGGAGGCAGCCGUUAGGAAUCUUCCACAUUGGGCGAAAGCCUGAUGGGGCGACGCCGCGUGAGGGAUGAAGGUCUUCGGAUCGUAAACCUCUGAAUCAGGGACGAAAGACACUUCGGUGGGAUGACGGUACCUGAGUAAUAGCACCGGCUAACUCCGUGCCAGCCGCCGCAGUAAUAC
rnacentral:rRNA from 1 species